UUCUUUUAGUACAUCAUCUAGACUAGAAGAGUAAUUGUGUACAGUUUUCGUUUGAUCAAGCUCCUAACUGCUAAUCAUCAGAGAUGGCAACGAAUGGAACGACGACGAAGCCACCACUGAUGCCUUCUCCUCUGCGUAAUUCUAAGUUUUUGCAGUCAAAUAUGAGGAUCUUCGUGACAGGAGGAGCUGACUUCAUUGGUUCACAUUUGGUUGAUAGAUUGAUGCAAAACGAAAAGAAUGAAGUGAUCGAUUGUCGCUGAUAAUUACUUCACAGGAUCAAAAGACAAUCUCAAGAAAUGGAUUGGUCAUCCAAGAUUUGAGCUCAUUCGUCAUGGUAUUAUCAUCUUCUUAAUCACCUUAUGUAAUAUAUAGAGAGAGAGAAAACAAUGCAUUAAUUAACUAACUCUUUUAUUAAUCUUCAGAUGUGACAAAACCUCUCAUGGUCGAGGUUGAUCAAAUCUACCAUUUAGCAUGUCAUGCAUCUCCAAUUUUUUACAAAUACAACCCUGUUAAGGUUCGUCAAAUUUCAUUAAUUCAAAAUUCAUUAAUACAAAACAUGACUACUUUCUCUGUAUCAUUUUAAGUGGUUUUUAAGGUUUUUGCACAAAGAUUAAGAAAAUAUAUUUUUUUAUGCAAUUUAUAUUGGUUACAUAAACUAACAUUAAAUAAAAUUAAUUCAACCAAUAAGAAAAAAAUACAGUAUUUUAUAAUUGGUCACAAAUUUUAAAUGACAUUAAAUUUUAUCUAGAAUUGUGAGAACAUCACUUAUUAUGAAACAAAAUAAAAAUCUAUAAACACCAUUUAAAAGUGAUACGGAGGAAGUAAUGUUUUAUGAUUUAUGAUCAUAACUAGGGGAAGCCCGCCCUACGGGCGAGGAAGCCGAUGGAAAAAAUAAUUAAAUCAUCUAUAAGAGUCUUAUCAUUUAUUAUGAUUUAAAACUGUGUUUGAAGUUCGAUGAUUUAAAUUGCAUGUACUAAAGCAUGUCUCACAUAAAAUAAAAAUAAUUGAAGCUACUAAACUUGUAGCUCACCGGCAGUGAGUGCCAGAUAUCUCCGGCAUAACGAACAUUGAUGGGACGCUGACAACAGAGACCAAAUGCUCUCUCUCAGCUCUACUCACUUCAGCAGCCUCCAUACACUGAGCAUCCGCAAGGCAGCGGAAGCAACGCCCAUGUCAAGUUUUAGCCAUCUGCUCAUCCUAUCUAGAGAUAGAAGACAUGGUGGUGGUGGCUGCAAUAACAGCAACAGAUGCAGCUACACUGGCUACAGUAAUAGCACCGUGAAUCUGAUAUAGUUUUUGAUUGCAUAUAACAGGGCUGGAACAGCAAGAAGCACAUUGUUCCGGACUGCCUGCAAAAUAGACUCAUUGCAUUAUAAAAACUCAACCAAUUGAACUUAGAAGUUUCAAAUUAUAUCUACUGGUUAGUAAUAUCAACAUUCCAAAAUCUAACAAAACCCAAUAAACUGUAAAAAGAUGAUACGUAGAUGAGAGAAUGUUAUGACAACGCCAAGAGAUCAGAUAACAAAAGGUGAAUAAUCUAACUUUAAAUUUGAGAAUAUGCCCUAGGAAAACUCUAGUACAGACUCUUUAAUUAAUUUGACUCUUUUUAAUUAGCAAAGAAGAAGUACCUGGACAAAUAUUGAAACAGAUAGAAGUGGCUUGUCUCCAACUUUUUUGGUGCUUGGCCUACACGUUGAACACAAACAAUUAGGUAUUAAUAGAUCCAUUCUCAGAAAAUCGAGCGAGUUAAAAAUAGAUAACAAUUUUGAAAUCAAAUUGUCUGUAUGCACAAAACUGAGUGACAGCAAUCACCAUCAGAUCUCUAAUAAAUGAAAACAGAAAAGUAAAGUCCCAAAACAUACUUUCUAGUGAGGAUGAUUCUCAGAUAUGAGGCUUACCUAUUUUAUAGGUGUAGUAUGAUUCACAAACCAAACAUCUGAAAACAUGAACUUGAGCAAAAUCGACGCAUAAUCUUUACAAAAGGGGGGUUUCGAGGUGUUACAUCUACAUGGCCAGAAUCACCUCUCUGGAUAUUUGGAUCACUUUCUUAUUCCUCUUUUGCAAUUUGUGGCUUUAUUCAAUUUUUCGGAGAACAUGGAUGGACCUAUGAACAGAAGAUCCAAACAAAGAGUGAUUAUUGCAAAAUUCAUAUCAGAUUCACAAUAAUAGAACAAACAGAGAGACCUGAAAAAGAAAAAAACAUGACUUGGGUUGUCACAUAUUAUGAUCAUUCGUUAAUCCCUAUCUACUCGUUGCCAUACAUGUAACCUGAGGAUCCAUGACGUGUUGUAGCAGGCUGCAUAGGUUAAAGCUGGAGAUGUAUUAGGCAUGUGAGUUGCAAACCGGUUUACAUUCACCGUCACCGGCAUCAUGGUCGCUUGUUCAUAUGGCAAACAAAAAAAUAAUCAGAAAAGCUUCAUAACGAAUUAAAAACAAAAACAAAAACAAAAAAAAACUAUUUUGAUAAUGAAUACAGGAACAAAAUGAUCUCUAGUGAGGAACUACUAUUAGGUUUGAAAGUUCCAUCACCAAAACACAAAAAACGCGAGAAAGAAUUAAAAAACAAAAAAAAAACUACGUAGUCAAGCUGGAUUCACCAUGGCGUCCAGGAGAAGCAUGUCGUCCCUCGCCGUCGCGCUUAACAAUCAUAGCUUCCCAGAUUCUAAGCAAACAGACCCAACGGUGGAGGUGCAGCGGCUUAGCCUUCUAAACGGCGAGGAAGACAAAGGAAUUAGCCAUUAUCGACUUUGAUUUUUUAGAAAGCUUAUGAAUGUGAAGAAAGAACUGAUGAAUUUCAUGGGUUCAAGCAUACGUUUUAUAGUUGAAGUUUCUGGCGAAGGCAGUAAAUGAGGGAGCGCGACCACUAAACAUUUCUGAUUUAUUGCAAUCAGGAAGAUGAACAGAGUAGGGUUUCAAUGAAGAGUCUGUCGACGGCGGAGUCUCAUAUAAUGGACCGAGCAAUUUAAAUAACCCAUCAUGAAACAAUAGUUAUCGAAGCCCAAAUAGCAGCCCAAAAGAAACGAUUGUAAAUUGUUAAUAUCAGGACACGUGUCACGCUUAGACUCUCUUAUUUAGUGACGUGACCUCUCAAGAAGAGAGUAAAACUCUUCUUUAUAGUAUAACAGCAACAGAU